ensembl:snRNA
GUGUUGUAUGAAAGAAGAGAAAGUUAGCAUUCCCUUUAAUAGAAAUGGAAAAGAUUCUAGUGGCCUUUAUAACACACAUAUGAUCCAGGCAUUGCCAUCUACUCUGGUAUCUAGCAUUUUUU